UGGGGAAUUUUGGACAAUGGGCGAAAGCCUGAUCCAGCAAUGCCGCGUGUGUGAAGAAGGCCUUCGGGUUGUAAAGCACUUUUGUCCGGAAAGAAAUCCUUGGCUCUAAUACAGUCGGGGGAUGACGGUACCGGAAGAAUAAGCACCGGCUAACUACGUGCCAGCAGCCGCGGUAAUACGUAGGGUGCAAGCGUUAAUCGGAAUUACUGGGCGUAAAGCGUGCGCAGGCGGUUUGCUAAGACCGAUGUGAAGUCCCCGGGCUCAACCUGGGAACUGCAUUGGUGACUGGCAGGCUAGAGUAUGGCAGAGGGGGGUAGAAUUCCACGUGUAGCAGUGAAAUGCGUAGAGAUGUGGAGGAAUACCGAUGGCGAAGGCAGCCCCCUGGGCCAAUACUGACGCUCAUGCACGAAAGCGUGGGAGCAAACAGGAUUAGAUACCCUGGUAGUCCACGCCCUAAACGAUGUCAACUAGUUGUUGGGGAUUCAUUCCUUAGUAACGUAGCUAACGCGUGAAGUUGACCGCCUGGGGAGUACGGUCGCAAGAUUAAAACUCAAAGGAAUUG
rnacentral:rRNA from 1 species